rnacentral:misc_RNA from 1 species
UUUCCGUAGGUGAACCUGCGGAAGGAUCAUUAUUGUAUAACCGAGCUUCGAGUUUUUUCGCUGACUUGACUGGUCUAGCACGCCCCAGUGCCCUCACACACAUCCAUCUCACUCCUAUGUGCACCACCGCGCUUGUCCCGCCUUGGCUUGUUCUGCAAGUGGUUUCCGUUUUCACCCAUUCUCUGCAUGCAGUGUAGCUUGUAUUUUUUUUUUUUGCGCACCCGCACUCAAUACAACUCUCAACAACUGAUCUCUCGCCCCUCGCAUCGGUGAAGAACC